AAGUCGUGCUGAAUGGACGUGUGUUUUUAAACGUUCUGUGUCUGGAAAGUUGUAUAACCAGAUAGUGAUUUAGCGCGCUGGCUAACUAUUCAGCAGCAAAAAAAGUCGCAAAACGUGUGCAAACCUGUUAUACAUACAUAGAUUGUAAAGAAAAAUGUGAAGGCUGUGAAGAGUGUGAUAUGAAGAGGACGAGCAAAUGGCCUUCGUAAGCGAAUAGUGUGAGUCAUGGGAGACUGCCGUAUGUCAACGCUCACCAGAAAGAAGCCUUUGGUCCGGAAUUCACACUCGUUUUCCUGCUCCUCGAAACGUUAAUGGCAACGAUGAGGAGGAACGGAACACUUGACAAACUACCGCAUCAAGAAAGAAAUCGAACCGACACACAAACCAACCAAUCGAUGGGCAAAUCGUCGGUACCUACCAUCGCGCGUCAGUCAAUAAUCGUUUCAAAGAAUUUCGUUUCUAUAACUGAGUGAGUCUUCACGUCUGUCCGUCUUCCGUCAACCACAAUGGCAGCGACUUGCAAGCCAGCCGAUCCUACACAGUUCGCAGCGGCAGCAGCAGCAGCAGCAAACACCACCGAGUCUCCCUUGCCCAAAAUGCCAGAUGAAGCUGACAAGUAAAAUGGGGACAAGGCGGAAUUGCGCGCGGCAGCAGCAGCAGCAGCAGCUUUAGCUCAACAGCAAGCAAACACGUGUGUGCCUUAUGCCUUCUGGUCGGUUACCAUCACAACUAUCACUACCUACUCUACAUAAAGCGGUCAGCAGUUGCUGACGGCGCAUCCACCACCAACCCACACAGAUAUCUCUGCAUACACGCUCGGUAUUCGUAUAUCAGCUGCGAACGCAAAAACAAUUACUUUUUAAAACAGAUUUACAGCACAAGGAGCGCGAAAGAAAGCAUCCAUCAACGUCGUCAUCAUUGGAAUUUCUCUUAAAUUACACAGUUAUCUUGAAGGUCUGACAUCGUCAACGUCUUCCUCUUCACUUUGGGUUCGUCGUAUUUUCAUCUCUUUUCUUCGCUUUAUUCUGGUGGCACGUAAGCCGUAUCGAAUUUUUCUCCUUGAAUAACUCUUGAAUUACAGUCAUAAUUGCAAAGCAGUCGGUUCUUGCACAAGUCUACAGAUUGAUAGAGGAGUCAUAAUCGAGCACACUUGCGUUUUAUGAGUCUAUGCGUCGCUCAUUAUAGGAAGAAGUUUGAAAUUUUAACCCAAAAUUGUUACGCAUAAAUACGUGGGCUUCAAUUUUUUUGUAGCGAUGCGUCACAGUUGAACAGUGCCUGUGAGCGUCGGAUUUCAUCAGCGGGACCUCGCAUCCUUUCUAGGCUUUGCACUCAUGGGGUGUCGAGAGUGGAAGAUCAACCACAGAGUGUCGUCUACCGUUUAACAAGCAAGCAAUAUGGAUGCACCCAAACUUUAUCCUAUUGUCUAGGAAAAAGACUAUUUUUCGUUUAUUAUAUUUUUAGAGAAGCGGCGCAGUUGAACGGUGCCUGCGUGCGUCUGUAAGGAAGUUAUCAAGAAAAUAUGUCGAUGAGAUAUCGCAACCAUCAAAUUUCCUAUCAAAUCAUUGCAAUUUUUGUGGGCUGCUCAAUGUCAGUACGCCAGGAGCACAAGUCGAGAUAAUCAAAUGGCAAAGCGUAACUCGUUUGUUAUUCUUAACAUGCACAAAAUGUUGCGUUUGUUUCUCUUUUAGAAUAUUGAGCCCAUGAUAUAGAUGCGCACAAUCACAAACGAUACACAAUGUCUGUUGAAAAAGAGCUGAAACCAUGAAACUAAUUACAAUCUUUGCCGGAUCGGAUAGCGUAACUUUUACAUUUAGUACUCUAAUAAUUUGGCUCUUGUAGCCAACUACAAACUAUGAUCGUACACUUGUUUAUGAUUUCCAGCCAUGGACUGGCUGCACAGCCUAUAUCUAACGAGAGCGAGGUGGAUUUGUUAUCCUGCACGUAAUGUUCGGAGGAUCCUGUUCAGAACUAUAUAGCAGAGAGAAUCAAACGAGAAAAGCGUAAAUUUUGAGCUUAUCCACACAAAAACAUAUCUUUUUGUAUUUUAUAGCAAUAUGACGCAGUUGAACUGUGCCUGCGCAUAUUGGAAUUAGUUAGACCCAUAAAUUGGGCAAUACUUGUAAGAGUUCAGCGAGGAAGCGUCAUCUUAAAGGAUUUUCACGUAAACUAUUCGAAUUUCCCUGUGCACAAAUCUUCCUUUUUCGUAUCUUGUAGCUAUAGAUAACCACAGUUGAAUGUGCCUGCGCAUAUCUGUCGGUAGCUGCUUCCCAAUGAUAAAAGGGCAAAAAGGGACCGUUUCGGCGAAGAAAUCAAGAUUUGGUUCUUUACCGGUGGAAACCAACCCUCUAUAAUCGUCAACUGCAAAAACGGAUUUGUUACUUUUACUUUUUCUUCCCCUAGCUUAUUUUCUAAGCAUAUGUAUUAAUUGCAGUGGUUGCGUUUUUGGUUGAUGUUCGGAUGUUCAAAAACACACAUUAACUCCAAUGAAUACCUGUAGCAAAAUUUGUUGAGGCAAUGGGAAUCAAAUGCCAACUUGAAAGCAAUAAAAUACACCGAUACGAACCGAAUUCCAACAUCUAUGUCGAUAAACCGAACUUUUGUCAAGGUCAGCCCGACACUGAAUACAUCUUGAAUUGCUUAAACCUGUUUUACAGCCAAGUGAAAAGACGAUACUGAGUACUCGAAUAAUACCUUCAGAAAGGCAGCAAACACAGCAUCUUUUUUAGAGCGAGGAUAAUAGGCCUGCCCCCCACGUCUGUCACUUCGGAUUCAAGUCAAAGCGUGAGACAUUUGUGUUCGCUUAUUAUUUGCUUUGCACUUUCACUUUUGCAGCGAUGCUUUGCUUGUGCGCAUAUACUUUUUACUGCCAAUUGCGUUUUUGGGACCGGUCUGGAAGCGACCGAUGUACACAAACAAACCACCUUUUCUCCAUCUCCAAACUACUACUAGCUAUCACACUGCAAAAUCGUUAAAGGGAAUCAAGAACGAUACAUCAAGUUCAUCCAGCUAGGCAAAUCGUCAAGCAAUGCCAGCACCAACACCACCACCACAACAACAAAAUAUGUUACAGCUGCCUUGAUGGCCAGAGAGUCGCAGAUCUCUAAAUAGAUCGAUCGAUCGCUCGCUCACAACGUACAAUGUACAAUUAACGUUUUUACAUUACAGAAAACGUAAGCUGCAAAAUAAUGGCUGUGUUGGGUGGUUGGCGCUCUGGCGCCACACAGACAGAUCCUGCACUCACAACCCAUCCACUUGAGCGGAGCCAGACUCUGUUCUCUCUCCGCCGAGGAGGCAUCACAGCCUAGCUCGGCCAGGCCAGCCUGGGUCAGCUCAGCCAGCAGCACGUAAUGCAUUGCACCGCAUAGAAAUAUGCGCUCGGUCCGCGCUAAAGGGAAACAAAUGCGUUUGGACCGAGACCCGCCACACCACAAAAACACCAGCAGUCGCUCAAGAGGCGAGCUGAUGUGUUGUCGUUGUUAUCGGGCAGCUGCCUGCAAGUACGCUACGUCAUGGUCGCAUCAGCGUCGCCGCCGCCGCCGCAAGUUUCCUCGCAUCCAGCAUUUUGUGUGUGUGCACAUCAUGUAUGUAUUUGUAGUAUGUAGUAGAAGCAGUUGAGCCAGCUAUAACGACCCGACCUAUGGAGCUCGUGGCUUAUCGCAAAAGGGAACCAAAUGCGACUAGUAUUCAAGCAGCAGAACGAAGAGCUGUGCAGCAACAGCAGCAGCAGCAGUCGAGGCAGACAGACGGCGGCUUUCAAUGGGCAGAGAAGACGGCGGUGGUAUUCGAAAUCAACUGGUUUUAUAAACUGUUGCAAAUUAUCCGCUCAUUCUCACUCCACUUCCUAGGUAGCACACAUGUUUUAACAGAAAACUCCGGUUAUCAAAAUCCAUCGCAAAGGGAAUCAAAUGCGAUUAGUGUUCGAUGACGAAGAAGCUAGCUAGUCAGACCAGCUCUACGCUACGCUACGCUUCGAUCUGCCAGUUGAGCGCUUAACUCCUGGUGCACCGAUCAACAUUCCGCAAAAGGGAAUCAAUUGCGAGGUGGUACUGCAGCAACGCACGCACACACACACACGCACACAGACACCCACCCACACACAUUCACGCACACAUGCGGAAUUUCCUGUUAUGUGGGGCAGUCCAACACGUCCCACUUGGCCCAAAGAGCAUCCAAAUGCGAUUAAGAGCAGCAGAAAGCAGGCAGGCGGCAGGCAGGGAAACGAUGCCCGCAGCGAAAGAGAUCUACUUGUUGUCGUCGUCAUCAUCAUUGUUCAUGUUGUUGUUGUUAGUGGUGUGUAUACAUUUUUUCAGGUAAAUUCCAACCCAGCCGACUAGGACAGUUGUCUGUCGGUCUGCCCAGCACACGUACUACACGUCAAGUUGUUCUCGAAGGGAAUCCAUGAGACGCGCGCUACAUCUGCAUACGACAUGUUAUUUUUCAAUGUAUUUUUUUUUUUUUGUUUUUUUCUUCUAAGUUUAUUAUGUACUUACAUGAUCAUACAAUUAAGUAUGUAUCUUCCUAUAGAGGCAAUCCUCUAACUCCGGGCUGUUUGAACGAAACUCUUCUGGCCAUGGGCCGUAGUCUACCAAGAAUGAAUGUUUAUUGUACAGCCCAUGUAAAUGUGCUAUGACAUGUUACUUUGUAAACAAUUGUAUAAGCCCAAUCUUGGUAUUGUAAGACGAUUGUAUUGUUAUAAUUGUAAAACUUUGACAUGUACAUAUUUGUGUAUGGCUUAAGAAACGUAAAAGGGACUCGUUCAUUGAAGAAUUCGACUGACGAGGACCCCCUGAUGUUCAACCCACCCAUCCCUUAAUAUGAGAGUGAAGGAGCGACUUGCAAGAGGCUACUCCAUUGCGCUCUUAAGGCGGGCCUGGCCAAGACACAUAUGUAUCCAUCUCCAGGGGCUUGCGGUGGUGCUGUACGCGAGCGGCAGAGGGGACAAUCAACCGUUCAAAUUGGCUGGCAGAACUAGCUUCAACUGUGCGAACUCUUGAUUACCUGGUCGUCGAUUCGCCAACCACCAUUCCAUGAGCUGAGAUUGAAUCUUUCGGCCUUACUAAUUUUUCGACUCUGAUGUCGCAUCAUCGCUUCAAAUCCCUAAAACUUUAAAAUCAGCCAUUUCCUGUCGUAAGAGGUGGAGCUGCAGCUGACCAAAAACCAUCCGUUACGGCAUCGACGCUUCAUGGCAAGAGAGAUCUGCACUGGAGGUCUUCGUGUUAGUAACUUCACAUCUUAGCACGUCCUGUCGAUCUAACACCUAUGGCUUGUUGGGAACAUUUCAUCUACUAUGUCACUGCAUCCAGUCCGAGGCUAAUAGACAGAUCCACAGAUUUACUGCCAGCUACAACUCUACUACUACUAAUAUU